rnacentral:rRNA from 1 species
GACGAACGCUGGCGGCGUGCUUAACACAUGCAAGUCGAACGGAAAGGCCCUGCUUUUGUGGGGUGCUCGAGUGGCGAACGGGUGAGUAACACGUGAGUAACCUGCCCUUGACUUUGGGAUAACUUCAGGAAACUGGGGCUAAUACCGGAUAGGAGCUCCUGCUGCACGGUGGGGGUUGGAAAGUUUCGGCGGUUGGGGAUGGACUCGCGGCUUAUCAGCUUGUUGGUGGGGUAGUGGCUUACCAAGGCUUUGACGGGUAGCCGGCCUGAGAGGGUGACCGGCCACAUUGGGACUGAGAUACGGCCCAGACUCCUACGGGAGGCAGCAGUGGGGAAUAUUGCACAAUGGGCGGAAGCCUGAUGCAGCAACGCCGCGUGCGGGAUGACGGCCUUCGGGUUGUAAACCGCUUUCGCCUGUGACGAAGCGUGAGUGACGGUAAUGGGUAAGGAAGCACCGGCUAACUACGUG